GCAUUUGUUUUUUAACCUGGCUGCGACAUCUGUCACCCCAUUGAUCGCCAGGGUUGAUUCGGCUGAUCUGGCUGGCUAGGCGGGUGUCCCCUUCCUCCCUCACCGCUCCAUGUGCGUCCCUCCCAAAGCUGCGCGCUGGGUCAAAGAGGACCACCUUCCCUGAUAGAGGAGGACCAGUCUUCGGUCAAGGGUAUACGAGUAGCUGCGCUCCCCUGCUAGAACCUCCAAACAAGCUCUCAAAGGCCAAUAUAAUGUGAUCCUUUUUUAAAAAAUUUUUUUUAAGUUAUGGAUGGACACAGUAACUUUAUUUUAUUUGUUUAUUUUUAUGUGGUGCUGAGGAUUGAACCCAGUGCCUGCACGU
ensembl:misc_RNA 7SK 7SK RNA